AUCCCUGGUCCAGGCUCAGACUCAGCAACAGAGCCUGACCCUGGGUCCUGCUUUACACUAGAAUAUGAGGCAUUUGACAAGAGUGACUGUGCUCCUGAUCUUGGGUGUCAGUCUUGGAGAGAAGAUGGAGCAGAGCCCUUCUACCCUGACUGUCCAGGAGGGAAACAGCUCUGUUAUCACCUGUACUUAUACAGACUCUGCUUUAGACUACUUCCUUUGGUAUAAGAAAGAACCUGGAAAAGGUCCCCAGCUCCUUAUAGAUAUUCGUUCAAAUAAGAACAAAAAAGAACACCAAAGAUGGAGUGUUUUAUUGAAUGACAAGGCCAAACGUCUCUCCCUGCACAUCUCAGACACCCAGCCUGGAGACUCAGCUGUCUACUUCUGUGCAGCAAGUACACAGUGCUUCCCAGGCACCUGCUACCUGUACUCAGAGCUGCGACUGGGGCAGCCUCCUUCCUUUGGCACAGACUUUCGUGUAUAGCAUUUGUCAUAUUGUUUGUCUGCAAGUGGAAACUAAUGUAUUAGACAUGAAAUGCAUAGAGUAAGAUUAGGUUCAAGAUGACCCAGAAAGUGUUAUACAUUUUUGUGGAUAACUGUUGCUUACUGAAUUCUUGAAGGGAGUUAGUAAUAUUUUAUUUCAAAAUUGUAAGAUUGAUGUUACAUUGCUAUUCAGACUCUUCUUCUCUAAAUAACUCCCUGGUAUCAAUAUCACAAUCCUUAUUGGGAAUAGAUUUUUAAAUACUGUGUUUUGAAAACAGCAUUUAUUAUUUUUCUGAUUACACAACGUUACAUGCCGGUUAUAGGAAAUGUGUGAUAUUCAAUAAUAUGAUAUUGACAAUUCUGUAAUCACAUAAUAUUGCUAAUAUUCAGUUUACCCUUUUUUAUAAAUUCUUAUUAUAAAUAGGCUCAUGAUUUUUUCACUUACCAUUACA